rfam:Erinaceus europaeus unplaced genomic scaffold scaffold00042, whole genome shotgun sequence
GGAUGUGAGGGCAAUCUGGUUGCAACAUCUGUCACCCUACUGAUCGCCCGGGCUGAUUCAGCUGAUAUGGCAGGCUAGGCUAGGUGUCCCCUUCCUCCCUCACUGCUCCAUGUCUGUCCCUCCCAAAGCUGCAUGCUGGGUCGAAGAGGACCGCCUUCCCCGAAUAGAGAUGGACCGGACCGGUGUUUGGUUGAGGGUGUACAAGUAGUUGUGCUCCCCUGCUAGAACCUCCAAACGAGCUCUCAAGGUCCCUAGUAGGGCAGGGUUCUGGAGAGGUGGGGGUUCAGGGUACAUUGGUGAGGUACUCUUGUCU